AUACGGAGGGUGCAAGCGUUAUCCGGAUUUAUUGGGUUUAAAGGGUGCGUAGGCGGUUAUUUAAGUCAGUGGUGAAAGUUUUCGGCUCAACCGGAAAAUUGCCAUUGAUACUGGGUAGCUAGAAUAUGGUUGCUGUGAGUAGAAUGUGUGGUGUAGCGGUGAAAUGCAUAGAUAUCACACAGAAUACCGAUUGCGAAGGCAUCUCACAAAGCCAUCAUUGACGCUGAGGCACGAAAGUGUGGGGAUCAAACAGGAUUAGAUACCCUGGUAGUCCACACUGUAAACGAUGAUAACUAGCUGUUGGCGAUACACAGUCAGUGGCCAAGCGAAAGCGAUAAGUUAUCCACCUGGGGAGUACGAUCGCAAGAUUGAAACUCAAAGGAAUUGACGGGG
rnacentral:rRNA from 1 species